UACGAGGGGUGCAAGCGUUGCUCGGAAUUAUUGGGCGUAAAGGGUAGGUAGGUGGUCUCAUUUGUCGGGGGUGAAAGCCUUGGGCUUAACCUAAGAAGUGCCCCCGAAACGGUGAGACUUGAGUUCUGGAGAGGGUCGUGGAAUUCCCGGUGUAGCGGUGAAAUGCGUAGAGAUCGGGAGGAACACCAGAGGCGAAGGCGGCGACCUGGACAGAUACUGACACUCAACUACGAAAGCGUGGGGAGCAAACAGG
rnacentral:rRNA from 1 species